UGAACCAUGAGCAGCAGACCAAUGCAGCAGUUGCUAUGGCUACUCACACGCAGAGCGGGGGACAGACAGACGAGCAACUAACAUAAUACAUUAUUUCUGAUUUCUGCGAAUAAAAAUGAGCACGGGAGGGGAGUGAUUCUUAUCGGGACAGGACUGGAAUGUUAUAGAACUGUUUCAGGAUCAGGACAAUACGGGGAAAAACUGACAGGACAAGACAAGACAUGAAUUGAUUUUAACUCCCGUGUCAACUUCUAGCAGCGAUGGAGGGAGAGGGCGAGAGAGAAGAAAAUGGGAGGGGAGGGGAGAGAGAAGGAAAGAGAGAGAGGGAAGGUUCCGCUCAGGUAAGCCCAACCAUAAAUGAUCCGCGUUAUCAUCAUACUGCAAGCCCGCAACAGCAACUCUACUCCCACUUGUCUACAAUUCCACAUACCAACCCUCAGCUUCCCUCAGCACAUCCCAUCUAUCUCUGCUGGCCACCCACUUCGGGAUUCUACGCAACACAUACCUUUCAACUAUGCUGUGAUGUUUAACGUACAAUUUCAAUCUAUCUAAUCUAACAGUAUCCACAGAUUGCGAGUUGAAGAUAAAUACUUUUACUAAGAGUAUUGGUAUAUUUGUAAUUGACUGACCCGGUCUCUCUAGAUCUCAUAACAGUACUUCUGGGUCAAUUUUAGAUCAAUGCUAUGCAUUUUCAGUGAUUCCUGAACCUGAGACCAGAAACAGGCUACCUGAGGGCAAUA